rnacentral:lncRNA from 1 species
AUGCAGGUCUUGUCCUUAUUGAGGGGGAAGGUUAGGAGAACCUUCUUCAUUCUUAAUCUUCACCCUCAUCCUUCACGCUCAUCCUCAUCCACGUCCUCGACCUUCAUCCUCGUCCUCCAUCCUCAUCCUUAUUCUUCAUCCUCAUUCUCAACCCCAUUCAGAUCCUCAUCCUUCAUCCUCAUCUUCAUUCUUUAUCCUCACCCUCAUCCUUCAUGUGUAUCCUCAUCUGGGUCCUCGACCUCCAUCCUCAUCCUCAUUCUAAACCCUAUCCUCAUCUUCAUCCUCCAUACCCAUACUCAUCCUUCAUACUUUAUCUUCAUCCUCAUCCUUCAUCCUCAUCUUCAUUCUUCAUCCUCACCCUCAUCCUUCACGCUCAUCCUCAUCCACAUCCUAGGCCUUCAUCCUCAUCCUCCAUCCUCAUCCUCAACCCCAUUCAAAUCCUCAUCCUUCAUCAUCAUCUUCAUCCUCAUCCUUGAUCCUCAUUCUCAUUCUCAUCCUCCGUCCUCAUUCUCAUCCUCACCCUCAUCCUUCAUGCUCAUCCUCAUCCACAUCCUCGACCUUCAUCCUCAUCCUCCAUCCUCAUCCUCAUCCUUCAUCCUCAUUCUCAACCCCAUUCGGAUCCUCAUCCUUCAUCCUCAUCUUCAUUCUUCAUCCUCAUCCUCAUCCUUCAUGCUCAUCCUCAUCCACAUCCUCGACCUUCAUCCUCAUCCUCCAUCCUCAUCCUCAUCCUUCAUCCUUAUUCUCAACCCCAUUCGGAUCCUCAUCCUUCAUCCUCAUCUUCAUUCUUCAUCCUCACUCUCAUCCUUCAUGCGCAUCCUCAUCCACAUCCUCGACCUUCAUCCUCAUCCUCCAUCCUCAUCCUCAUUCUCAUCCCCAUCCUCAUCCCUGUCCUCACCCUCCUCCUCAUCCUUCACAUCAGAGGACGGUUUCUGCGUUCACAGGCACAUGUAUAUCAGUAACUUCUUCCUGACACUCACCGGGUUCUCUGACAAGACAGACUUCGGGCAUCCAUUGCAUUGGUUCCUGGUGGAGGUGUGCGUGUUCACGAAACACAUCUGA